rnacentral:rRNA from 1 species
CUACGGGGUGCUGCAGUGGGGAAUAUUGGACAAUGGGGGAAACCCUGAUCUAGCCAUGCCGCGUGAGUGAUGAAGGCCUUAGGGUUGUAAAGCUCUUUCGCUGGGGAAGAUAAUGACGGUACCCAGUAAAGAAACCCCGGCUAACUCCGUGCCAGCAGCCGCGGUAAUACGGAGGGGGUUAGCGUUGUUCGGAAUUACUGGGCGUAAAGCGCGCGUAGGCGGGCUAUUAAGUCAGGGGUGAAAUCCCGGGGCUCAACCCCGGAACUGCCUUUGAUACUGGUAGUCUUGAGUUCGAGAGAGGUGAGUGGAAUUCCGAGUGUAGAGGUGAAAUUCGUAGAUAUUCGGAGGAGCAUCAGUGGCGAAGGCGACUCACUGGCUCGAUACUGACGCUGAGGUGCGAAAGUGUGGGGAGCAAACAGGAUUAGAUACCCGCGUAGUC